GGUGAUUGAUCUCGCGGAAUGCCCAUUACCUGAUACGAGUGCCAACGCAUGUUUGGAAUUCAUCAAUGUGUUGCUAAACAAUUAUCCCGAGAGACUAGCUGCUGCAUAUCUGUGCAACCCUAGUCCAAUGUUUCUUUUCAAUUGUAGAUGGUUUGUUUUCUCAAGUGUCAGCUUAAAAAUUACUUUUACAUUUUGCAUGUUUUCUUAUUAAGUAAAUGUAAUUUAUUGUAGAAAGUUGGACCCCGCUUGGAAGCACCUAAAACAAUUCAGAAGCUGACUAUUUAGAUUCGGGAGGGCAUAGGCAUUGGAGAACUGUUGAUGCACUAUUUUAUUGGGGAGCAUCUCCCGAUGGAGUAUGGAGGUUUGGGUAAGCUGCGUUACUUUGGCUUAGGUACGUCUAGAUGACUAUCUGUUUAGGACCUAUAUUCAUAGUGACACACAUUUAUCGUAGCUAUACUUUCAAAAAUGUCUUUUGCGGUUCAUAUAGUUUUGCCCAUUCAAUAUCCACAUCAACGCCUUACUUUCUCGCUCCCAAUCGGCUCUCCACUCCCUCCGCUCAAUCGGUGGCUUCCGAUUUGAUUGACCCAAUUGCAUCACUUUCAGAAUAGGAUUAAUCGAGUUUUUAAUCAUCUGCUAAUCUCGGUAUUGAUGAAGAUUUUGGAAGGGGAUUCUGAGUGUGGCAUAAUGAAUAAAAGUGCCAAAAAGAGUCGUUUAUCUGUAAGAAAAGAAAUGAAACUGAGAGAUAAUUUGUUUACAAA